rnacentral:rRNA from 1 species
GUACACUCCUACGGGAGGCAGCAGUGGGGAAUAUUGGACAAUGGGCGCAAGCCUGAUCCAGCCAUGCCGCGUGAGUGAUGAAGGCCCUAGGGUUGUAAAGCUCUUUCACCGGAGAAGAUAAUGACGGUAUCCGGAGAAGAAGCCCCGGCUAACUUCGUGCCAGCAGCCGCGGUAAUACGAAGGGGGCUAGCGUUGUUCGGAAUUACUGGGCGUAAAGCGCACGUAGGCGGAUCGAUCAGUCAGGGGUGAAAUCCCAGGGCUCAACCCUGGAACUGCCUUUGAUACUGUCGAUCUGGAGUAUGGAAGAGGUGAGUGGAAUUCCGAGUGUAGAGGUGAAAUUCGUAGAUAUUCGGAGGAACACCAGUGGCGAAGGCGGCUCACUGGUCCAUUACUGACGCUGAGGUGCGAAAGCGUGGGGAGCAAACAGGAUUAGAAACCCCGGUAGUCCCAU